rnacentral:rRNA from 1 species
UACGGAGGGUGCUAGCGUUGUUCGGAAUCACUGGGCGUAAAGGGCGUGUAGGCGGUCCGCUAAGUCCGAUGUGAAAUCCCCUCGCUCAACGAGGGAACUGCGUCGGAUACUGGCAGACUCGAGUACCGGAGAGGAAGGUGGAAUUCCCGGUGUAGCGGUGAAAUGCGUAGAUAUCGGGAGGAACAUCGGUGGCGAAGGCGGCCUUCUGGACGGAUACUGACGCUGAGACGCGAAAGCGUGGGGAGCAAACAGG